rnacentral:rRNA from 1 species
GUGCCAGCAGCCGCGGUAAUACGGAGGGUCCAAGCGUUAAUCGGAAUUACUGGGCGUAAAGCGCGCGUAGAUGGUUUACUCAGUUGGGUGUGAAAUCCCUGGGCUCAACCCAGGAACUGCAUUCAAAACUUAUAAACUAGAGUACGAAAGAGGAGAGUAGAAUUCAUGGUGUAGCGGUGAAAUGCGUAGAGAUCAUGAGGAAUACCAGUGGCGAAGGCGACUCUCUGGUUCGAGACUGACAUUGAGGUGCGAAAGCGUGGGUAGCAAACAGGAUUAGAUACCCUGGUAGUCCACGCCGUAAACGAUGAGAACUAGCCGUUGGAUCUUUAGAUUCAGUGGCGCAGCUAACGCAUUAAGUUCUCCGCCUGGGGAGUACGGCCGCAAGGCUAAAACUCAAAUGAAUUGACGGGGGCCCGCACAAGCGGUGGAGCAUGUGGUUUAAUUCGAUGCAACGCGAAGAACCUUACCAACCCUUGACAUCCAGUGGAAGUUUUAGAGAUAAAACUGUGCCUUUGGGAACACUGUGACAGGUGUUGCAUGGCUGUCGUCAGCUCGUGUCGUGAGAUGUAUGGUUAAGUCCAGUAACGAGCGCAACCCUUAUCCUUAUUUGCCAGCACUUCGGGUGGGAACUUUAAGGAGACUGCCGUGAAUAACACGGAGGAAGGUGGGGGACGACGUCAAGUCAUCAUGGCCCUUACGGGUUGGGCUACACACGUGCUACAAUGGGAGAUACAGACGGUUGCGAAAGCGCGAGCUGGAGCUAAUCCUACAAAGUCUUCCUCAGUCCGGAUUGGGAGUCUGCAACUUCGACCUCUCA